rnacentral:rRNA from 1 species
GACGAACGCUGGCGGCGUGCUUAACACAUGCAAGUCGAACGGUAAGGCCCUGCUUGCAGGGUACUCGAGUGGCGAACGGGUGAGUAACACGUGGGUGAUCUGCCCUGCACUUCGGGAUAAGCCUGGGAAACUGGGUCUAAUACCGGAUAGGAGCCAUUUUUAGUGUGAUGGUUGGAAAGUUUUUUCGGUGUAGGAUGAGCUCGCGGCCUAUCAGCUUGUUGGUGGGGUAAUGGCCUACCAAGGCGGCGACGGGUAGCCGGCCUGAGAGGGUGGACGGCCACAUUGGGACUGAGAUACGGCCCAGACUCCUACGGGAGGCAGCAGUGGGGAAUAUUGCACAAUGGGCGCAAGCCUGAUGCAGCGACGCCGCGUGGGGGAUGACGGCCUUCGGGUUGUAAACUCCUUUCGCUAGGGACGAAGCUUUUUGUGACGGUACCUAGAUAAGAAGCACCGGCUAACUACGU